CUCAAAUGGUGCUUUAGAACAUAAGCUGGAUGAGCUUCGACAUCUCAUAGGCAAAGCAGAAGGUGAUCCGUUGAGGAUUGUUGGCAUUGGCGCAGGUGCUUGGGGGAGUGUAUUUACUGCUUUAUUGCAAGAUAGUUAUGGCCAUCUAAGAGAUAAGGUUCUGAUAAGGAUAUGGAGAAGGCCUGGCAGAUCAGUUGAUAAAGCCACAGCUGAGCAUUUGUUUGAAGUGAUCAAUUCCAGGGAAGAUGUAUUAAGGAGACUGAUUAGGCGUUGUGCAUAUUUAAAGUAUGUGGAGGCAAGAUUAGGUGAUAGGACUUUACA
rnacentral:misc_RNA from 1 species